UGCGAAGGGUGCAAGCGUUACUCGGAAUUACUGGGCGUAAAGCGUGCGUAGGUGGUUUGUUAAGUCUGUUGUGAAAGCCCCGGGCUCAACCUGGGAAUGGCAAUGGAUACUGGCAGGCUAGAGUGCGGUAGAGGGUAGUGGAAUUCCCGGUGUAGCGGUGAAAUGCGUAGAGAUCGGGAGGAACACCAGUGGCGAAGGCGGCUACCUGGACCAGCACUGACACUGAGGCACGAAAGCGUGGGGAGCAAACAGG
rnacentral:rRNA from 1 species